UAAUUUGUUAUUUGAAACAGGAAUCAUCCCUAGGUAAAAACAGAAGGCCUGAUUUUUCUUCAAGCACUUUAAAAAUCAGAAGCCUGCACAUGAAGAUCGGGUAGAAUAUCUAGCGCCAAUUUGAUCCCCCUGUGAAUGGUGGAAGGCUCCAACUUGAAGAUAUUUAUAGGGACGCUGGCAGGGAUGACACUCAUUUUGAAGGCUGGAGCAUCACAACCCAAACAAGCACUCGAAGAAAGGUAUCAGUUUGGAAAAACAGAAGUAUUUCAAAUGAUUCUGCAUUGACUGUCAUGGUCUUGAAUGCUACUAGGAAUCCAGCCUGAUGUUUUGACUCACAGCCUUCUCUCUACCAAUUAACCUGAACAGCAAAGGAAUGCUCUUGCCUGUAUCAUCUGUCUCUUCAGAAUUUGUCUGCAUAGCCUGUUACAGCAAACCAUGAGAUACGUACACAAGCCUACAAGGAUAUA